CUAGCCAUUUUGCUUUGUUUAAAGAGAAUAUGUUGGCCUGGGAUGAUAUCUAUUCAUUCACUAAAAUAUUGUUAGUGUAUGGGAAAUAAUUUUUUAGUUCUAGUUACUUUCCUGCUCACUAUCCUUUUAAUAGGAAAGGAAUGUCCCAAGAUAUUUCCAAAGGCAUGACUCCUUUUCCAAUCAUAUAGACCAUCACGCUAUUGGGAAUUGCAAAUAAUUUCUUUCAUACAACUGAAAGAAGAAGUCAGAGAAGUUAUGUUCCAAGCCUCUCUGUCUUCCUGAAAUUCUGAGACAUCUUGACUGUCCUUGGGCAGCUUCACUGGGUUUGACAGCUGAGAAAGAGACUAUUUAGGACUAGUUGACUAUGACUGAUUCCUGGAAAUGAGUAGUGGCCUCCUUAUGUGAUAAAUGGAAGCUGGGGUAAUGAAGCAGCUCUAUUCAAAGUGAUCAGUCACUGUAGCAUCUGAAUAGACCAAAAGGCAUAAGACAGAAGAUCUACAACUAAUUUGGGCCUGAUAUUAGCAUUUAUUUGGCAUGGAUGCAAGGGGAAGUUGGAAGGGAGGGAAAGGAAAACGGAUUUCUGUUGAAAAAGAAAACUUAAUAGAUAACAUUUACAUACUGUCUAUUAUGUUCCAGGAACUUUGAUUCUUACUUCAACUCUGAGAAGUGGGUGUUAUUUGUUAUAUGUUCUAUCCCCAUUUUACAGAGAAGGGAGCUGGGGUGGAGGGGAUAAAUUACUUUCCCAGGGUUACACAGCUAGUCAAUGUCUAAAGCUGGAUUUGAAUGAAGGAUUUCUGACUUCAGGCUGACACACUGGAUCCAUUGCACCAGGGGAAAGAUCUGAAGCCUGCUGCUACUGAUCUUAGUAUUAAGAUGAUAUUGAUCCCUGAAGCUCAGGAGUACAUGUCAGUUUGAACAUUGUUGGAAACAUAUUCCAUAGUUGUCUAGUUCUCAGGACACUGGCUACAUGAGGGUCAUGACGUGCCCAGCCCCAGAAAAGAUUUUUCUGUAUUCUCAGGAUUCCAUAUGGAAUCUCUAGA
rnacentral:lncRNA from 1 species